AGUGAACGCUGGCGGUAGGCCUAACACAUGCAAGUCGAACGGCAGCACAGUAAGAGCUUGCUCUUACGGGUGGCGAGUGGCGGACGGGUGAGGAAUACAUCGGAAUCUACUUUUUCGUGGGGGAUAACGUAGGGAAACUUACGCUAAUACCGCAUACGACCUACGGGUGAAAGCAGGGGAUCUUCGGACCUUGCGCGAUUGAAUGAGCCGAUGUCGGAUUAGCUAGUUGGCGGGGUAAAGGCCCACCAAGGCGACGAUCCGUAGCUGGUCUGAGAGGAUGAUCAGCCACACUGGAACUGAGACACGGUCCAGACUCCUACGGGAGGCAGCAGUGGGGAAUAUUGUACAAUGGGCGCAAGCCUGAUCCAGCCAUACCGCGUGGGUGAAGAAGGCCUUCGGGUUGUAAAGCCCUUUUGUUGGGAAAGAAAAGCAGCAGGUUAAUACCCCGCUGUUCUGACGGUACCCAAAGAAUAGGCACCGGCUAACUUCGUG
rnacentral:rRNA from 1 species